rnacentral:lncRNA from 1 species
GGUUUGUGUUGCUGAGUCUUUAGUUUUCUAUGUUGUAUCUUAUGUACCAUUAUUAGUGGGUUUUACUUUUUCAUUUUUAGCCAUGGUGUUGUCAGUUUAUUUUCGAUCUAUGAGUUUGAAUGUCCCUCUUGUAUCUUUCACCCCUCAUUUAAAACAUAUUUACAAGAACAUACAAAUAAUGAAAACCAUAUGACCUUCAUCAACUUUAUUAAAACAUUGAAAACCAUAACAAGGCUGUCGUUUAUAACCAAAAUAAGACAUAAUACAACCAGAUGCUCUGCAGGGCACAGCUUUAUACGACCGCAGUGGUCGAACCCUGAACAGUUGGGGCAAGUAUGGACAUCAUAAAAUAUUAAAAUAUAAAAUGACAUACAGUCAUGGUUAAAAUUAAUAUUAAUAAACAGUUACUUCUAAAAAUAAAUUUACAGCUACACAUCUCAAGACAAUCAUCAUUUCUUAAUACAUAAUUUUCAAACAGUGUAAGAGAGGUAAUCAAGUAAUCAAACAUAAUUCUUUUUUAAGUAUUAGUUUAUGCUUGUGUUGUAAAAUGUUUAAAUUUUUCAGAUUUCUGUGAAGAGGCUUGAGUGUCCUUUAAGCACCUGCCCUUGGUGACUCCUGCAUAUGAACAACAAUACUAUUUGCUCAUAUGCAUCAGCCACGAGGAAGGACUUAACUCAAAGUUUUUUUGUUUUGUUUUUCUAUAAUGGAUGUGAUGCUGUGUCUGGUGCAUGGUCAAUAAUCACUAAACAUACAGGUUUUCAUGUAUUAUAAACUCAAUUUAUAUUUCAUGUUUUUUGUCAAACAUAUUUCUAUUUUUAUUUUUGUUUAUUGUCUAUUGCAAUUGUGUGAUAAAAAAAUCAAUGUACUGAUUAUGCCUGUAAUGGGUCCACUAUUGGAAAUAAAAUAUAUCUUACCUUAUCUUAUCUUAUAUAUAAGUGUUCUUUAAAUUUUAAUUGGAUUACCUCCCCUUCACUGAUUUUAAAUUUUCUAAAUUGUGCUUUAACCAGAAAAACCCUUGUUUUUCCCCUUUUUUGGCCCUAAUUGCUUUAUGAUUUGAACCAUACCCGCCCCCCCCCCUUUUUUAACCAUCCCUUUGUAGUAUGGAAACUUGUGGUAUAAUUUCAGAGAGAUUUAUACACUUAAACACAAGUUAUUGACUGAAAACUAAAAAAUGCUUAUUUUGGCCCCUUUUUUGGCCUCAAAUUCCUACACAUUUGGGACCAUAACCCUCAAAAUCAAUCCAAACUUCUACCUGUGGUAUUAAACAUUGUGGUACAAUUUCAGAGCAAUUAAAAUGCUUAUACACAAGUUGAUAUCCUGAAAGUAAAAAAAUGCUUCUUUUGGGGCCCCUUAUUCCAAAACGAUAGAGACCAUCAUCCCCAACUUUCCUUUUGAGGUAUUGAACCUUUUUAUAAAAUUUCAUAGAGAUCCAUUAACUUGAACUAAAGUUAUUGUCCAGACACCAAAUGUGUCUUCAGACGAGGAUGACAACGACGCAGACGACGACAUCAUACCAUUAUACGAACACAAAAAAAUUUUGCGGUCGUAUAAAAAUGAAUUUGUGUAUGCAUUUUAAUUUGUUUCCAAAGUCAAGCUGGAUUGGACAUCCAAAUUUUGAGGGUGUCAAAAUCCAAGAUUUGCAGAUGACUGUGUCUUAAAAUUUAUUUUAACAUCACAAAUGCCAAUCAACUUGAAAUAACUGCCAUACAUUUUAAUGCAGCAGACAUUUUUAGAUUUUAGUCACAACUAUCUGUUUUACAGAAACACAGUUACACUAAUUUCUAUCCUGAAAACUCUAUCUGCAACAGUAAAAUCAAUGAUUUAUG